ensembl:rRNA 5S_rRNA 5S ribosomal RNA
GCUUACGGCCACCCGGCCUGAGUACGCCUGAUCUCGUCCGAUCUCGGAAGCUAAGCAGGGUCGGGCCUGGUUAGUACUUGGAUGGGAGACCGCCUGGGAAUACCAGGUGCUGUAAGCU